rnacentral:snRNA from 1 species
GGAUGUGAAGGUGAUCUGGCUGCAACAUCUGUCACCCCAGUGAUCGCCAGGGUUGAUUCGGCUGAUCUGGCUGGCUAGGCGGGUGUCCCCUUCCUCCCUCACCGCUCCAUGUGCAUCCCUCCCAAAGCUGAGCGCUAGGGCUAGGUCAAAGAGGACGCCUUCCCGGAAUUAGAGACGGACUGGUCUUCGGUCGAGGGUAUACAAGUAGCUGCGCUCCCCUGCUAGAACCUCCAAACAAGCUUUCAAGAAAGUAGUGGUUUCUUAUCUCUAAACCACAACUUCUCUGUGUGUGU